rnacentral:lncRNA from 10 species
CCCUGCGAAGUUGGUGGUGAUUGUGGUGGUGGAGCUAAUGACAUGUGUGCAGAAACUCUUCUGAAUGGGACUUCCCUGAUCCUGUUUUUACCUGAUCUUCAUGCUCAAUAGAAAAAGCCUCAGCUUUGGAAUCAGGGCCGUCCAGGUAGCAUGGCAUGGUACUGGAACACUAUGUCUUCUCUCUGACCUCUCGGAAUAUCUCUGUGAUUCAAUGUGUUGGCCCAUUGGAGGCCCUGGCCAGGAAUAUUUAAGGAUUCCCAUUGUUUCACACUCUUGACAGCACUUGGUAUUGUCAGACUUCAACACAA